rfam:Felis catus isolate Cinnamon breed Abyssinian chromosome C2, whole genome shotgun sequence.
ACCUGGGUGGCUCAGUCGGUUAAGCGUCUGACUUUGGCUCAGGUCAUGAUCUCACAUUUCGUGGGUUCAAUCUCCACAUCAGGCU